rnacentral:lncRNA from 1 species
UUGAAGUAGAUCAGGAUUUCUGUUGUAGAGCAUAACUAGUUGUGACUGGAUUUCAGGGUCAAAAUAUAAGAGUAACGUUGCUGCGAAUGUUAGUCGUGUGAGGGCAAAAGCUGAGGGCUUGAAUAAACAAGUAUGGGUCAUUAAUUCAAAAGUGGAGAUCAAGAACUUUAGAGUGAAAACAGCAUCUUAUUGAGGAUGUACUAUUGAUUUGAUCUUGCUUGGAUGAUGUUGUUCUCACGUGAUUUUAAGUUGCUGAUUCGCCCUCGCGUUUUGGUCACUAAAAUGAGAUGCCUGCCAUAUGUUUGUGAAGAUGCCUGAAUGAAUAUCUACGUAGUGUCUUCAUCAGUCCACAUGCAAGAUAUUCAUGGCUUACUUAAAUCAUGAUGCCCAAAUUGAUUUCAUCUUGCUUACUGUCGAUCUAAUCAAUAUGAGCAAUUUUAGCAUUAUGGCAUGCUUAAAACCUGUGCUCAUUGGCCUCGUUGAUUGUGAGUAAUAUUCGUUUUCACUUUGAACCAGAUUGAGUCGUAGAAAAUAAUAAAUCUCUGUUCUGGUCUGGUUUUACUCAAAUUUGGGAAGUUUUUCUAGAUCAAGCAAAGAUCAAUUGAUGGAUAAAACUGAUGGUUGGAGUUGGCGGAUAUGAGCAGAAAUUUGUAGAAAUAAAAACAUGGUUUGUUACUUUUGUCGACCCUUUUAAGGUUGUAAGGUUUGCUGUGAUUCAUUUUUAGAACUACUCUUUGAGCAUUGUCUAGAUGGUUUUAUAAACCAUUAGUUAUGCAUUAUGUUCUAAUUCAUUUGUGGCUGAUUUGUAUGUCCUCAUGAUGAUCAUUUUUCGACUAUCAAUUUGACGUCAAUUGGACUCAACUUCUCUUAAGAAGUGGGCUUGUUUUAAUCUUUCCUAUGAUGCUGAUCUCGCAUGAUUUGCAAUGAGUUGAUGAUUAUUGAUGAUGAACUUGAAGUUGAUUGAACUUGAUUUGCCUUGAUCUGCAAAUUCGUAUACCUGAUAUAUCACUUUCUGUUUUGGCUGAAACGAGGUGAUAGAUAAGGUUUUUUUUACUUCAAGCCCUUCUAGGCAUAUAAAAUGCACUUCUAGAGCUUCAAUUUGAUAUGUUGCACGCCCUGAACGGACGUCGUUCAGUCAUCGAAAAACACCUACAAAGUCUGUCAAUUCUGCAGUAGUUUUUAGGUUGAUUUGCUGUUCUGCGAUUCUGUUUUAACUGAACUGAGCUGGUAGAUGAUGUUAUUAGGACAUGUCUUCUAGAGAUUUGUAAUAGACUUCUCAAGCUUUCCAUAGACAUAUUAUAUGUGCGAUUUGGCCAUCAUUUGCCCUGCCUGAUGCUUCUUGCAAAGAGCACUAAUCUGCUGAUGUGUUCUGCUUGUUAUGAUCUGAUCUGACCACUUAUACAAAUGGCUUUGCUUGAGCUAGAAAAAGACCUAAAUUGCAAUUGUCACCUAAUAGGAAUUCUUAAAGGACACCUUGAGCUUUUUAACGAUGCCUAGUUUGUCCAAUUUGCCCAUCAUUUGCCCUGCUUUUCUUUUUUUUUUUUAGAUCAAGUUUUGAAGUCUGAAUUUGUCUUGACCUGCAGUGCUGUCUUGUCUCUAUGAAUCUGACUGUCUAUCAAUUUUGUGUGAUCUUAUACAUAAUGAUCUUGAGGAUAAAUUCUCAAUGAAAGCUGUCCAUAAUAUCCAUAUCCAUCCCAUGCUAAAAUUUGAGAAUUUUUAAGGUCAAGUAACCUUAGAAUUCAAGUUGACACGUAGCAAUUUAAAUUGUUAUGCAUUUUGCUCCUAAUGAC